rnacentral:rRNA from 1 species
GACGAACGCUGGCGGCGUGCUUAACACAUGCAAGUCGAACGGAAAGGCCCUGCUUGCAGGGUACUCGAGUGGCGAACGGGUGAGUAACACGUGGGUGAUCUGCCCUGCACUUCGGGAUACGCCUGGGAAACUGGGUCUAAUACCGGAAAGGAGCCAUUUUUAGUGUGAUGGUUGGAAAGUUUUUUCGGUGUAGGAUGAGCUCGCGGCCUAUCAGCUUGUUGGUGGGGUAAUGGCCUACCAAGGCGGCGACGGGUAGCCGGCCUGAGAGGGUGGACGGCCACAUUGGGACUGAGAUACGGCCCAGACUCCUACGGGAGGCAGCAGUGGGGAAUAUUGCACAAUGGGCGCAAGCCUGAUGCAGCGACGCCGCGUGGGGGAUGACGGCCUUCGGGUUGUAAACUCCUUUCGCUAGGGACGAAGCUUUUUGUGACGGUACCUAGAUAAGAAGCACCGGCUAACUACGUG